rfam:Brachyspira sp. CAG:700 genomic scaffold, scf309
GGGGAUGCUCUGGCUUCGACUGCGAUGGUUGAGUCAUAUUUUGCAUAGUCGCGCUAGGUGUAUGCGCGUUAAUAUCAUACUAAAAUUAUAAUUGCAGACGAAUAUGCAAUUGCAGCCUAAUUGAGGCUGUCGCUGAUUUUAUAAUUUGUCUAUGGGUUAUUUUAUCGGCGUUGAAACACAUAGAACUUGUAUCGAGCGCCGUUUGAACUUGAAUACAUGUAUAAUCAAACUAGUCUUGCGGUUUUUCUGCUUAUCUUAUAGCCGUUAGGCGAAACUUUAAAGAUAAGAUACGCUAUGUAGACGAAUAUGGGGCGCUUCGUAGGACGCGGGUUCGAGUCCCGCCAUCUCCAAUU